AGUCCCCUCGAGGUCUCCUCACCCUCCCCUGUACCCCGCCGCGGCGGUGUCCAAGUGGAGGAAGGACCCGAGGCUGCGGUGGUGGGGCGGCGGGUCGUGGUCGCCGCGGCUCUUGCGGUGCUUGGGCAGCAGGUGCAUUAGCAGCAGCUGCAGCUGCAGCCUCGGGGAGGAGAGGCGGAGGGAGGUCAGCUUCAGGACCUUGCGCGGCGCGGGCGACCACUUGGCGAAGUAGACGGGGUCGGGACGGUAGGGGCCGGGGCUGUGGCCGCGUCGCCGGUGCCGCCGCGACGAGGGGCCGGAGGGGAACUUUUCUAGCCGUCGCGGCGAGCUGAACACCCUGCUCCUCCUCCUGCUUCCGGCGCUGGACGAGGCAGCCCUCUUGUAGGCGGACUGCUCGCUGGAGAAACCGGACGACACCUGGCCGCCGGCGCCGCCGUACCCCGUCCGCGGCGGCAGGUAGGGCGUCCGCCGGCGCCCCCGCUGCAAGAAACGGCGGAAGGACCGGAACGACCAGAACCUGAACGAGGCGAACUAGACCGGCUACGUGCUGUGGAACCCGCUGCUCCGGAGCCCGCAGGCCAUGGGCGACGGCGGGGGGACGAAUGAUGGCGGGGCGGAGGACGGCGGCGGCGGCGGCGCGCGGAGCCCGCCGUGCUACCUCUGGUACCCCGGCCUCUUCCGCAACGCCACCAACUUCCUGCGGAACGGCGGCGGCCGCCCCGCCCUCGGCUUCCACCACCGGCACCUCCUCCUCUUCCUCCGCCGGCACCUGGACUCCUUCCUGCGGUCGCGCGGCGAGGACCAGGAGCGCACGAAGAAGCAGCCGAAGGAGAGGUAGCGGACGAAGACGGCUCUGGACCUGCGCGAUCGAUCGAUAUCUAAGAACCGGCUACUCGAGCUACCUAGCAAACGAAAAGUCGGAAACAGGAAACAUGGCACAUGACCAGGACCAAUAUAUGCUGCCCGCAACCGGCCCGUGGCCUCCUCCUCCGUCCUGCCAACCACU
rnacentral:rRNA from 1 species